AUCUCAUUUCUUAAUUUUUGUAUUUGAAAUCUUUUGAAUUAGGUAUAUAAUUAAAACCUAAUAU